CUUAAGGAGGGCGGCAGGGAGUACCCAGCUGGCCUCCAGUUAGCAACGCCGGGUGUGAAGGACGGGAAGCCCCGGGCCUCACUAUAGAAAGCGAGGGCGGUGGAGAACCCCGGACCUGGAGGCUGCUGCCGCCCUGGUCCUAGGCAUCCGCGCGCUCCUCACGAGGAUAACUGUCGGAAGGACGGGAAUGAGAGUAGCGACUACCGGGUGACUUCCAAAGUUCCCACAAGUUGAAGAAGCCUAAGAUACACGGUGACCAAAUGUGUGAGCGGGCUGGGUUUCCAAAGGAUCCACCUCCAGCCGGCUUUAGGAAAAGAGCCACCUUCACUGGAGCCACCUCUGGCUCAGCCCUGUAGUGCCACUCAGUAGGCUUGGAAUCAGAAAGGCAACUGCGUCGUUGUCCCCCACCCCAUAGUUGGUUGAAACUACACAGCCGAGGAUGACCUUGAACUGUUGACCCUUCGGUCUUCACCUCGAAAGUGCACAGAUUACAAGCCUGCACCACCACAUGUGGUUUUUAUGCAGUGCUUUGGGAUGAAACCCAGGGUUUAUUAUCCGUAUUAGGAUGUGUGAAGCUCUGAGUUCAAACCCCAGCAUCUCAAAGAGAAAAAGAGAGAAAGAACAACCAUACAGCCCAGGAGAAGCAGCACAGAUCAGUAACUCCAGCACAUACAGGUAAAAACAGGAGGAUGACAAGUGCAGGUCCGCCCAGGCUACACGGAAAGACCCUGUCUUAAAAACAAAAUAAGAGCCGUAUGACAAUGGAAUUCUUCAUUACAAUGGAGGGGCUGCUCUUCAGCCAUUUCAAUCAAGUAAGGCAGGUGGUGGCCCUCUGACAUAUGACUGUGGAAAGGACGGCUGACCUGCCACUGUCCUCCGGUGCUCCGCCAGUGCGUACACCUCCUGCAGCUUCCUCUUCUGAUCCUCACUGAGUGGUGCCACCAGCAGCUGAUACCAGGCAACAUCCCGAUUCUGUACAGCUAUAGCAUUUCAGGGGGGUUGGAGGAAAAAAGGAAGCAAGUGAAGUCCUGAGUUGAAUGUAUGUUGUUGACAUGAGUACAGCCAUGUCAAGGACCCCAGUGCCUCAGCCCCAUGGGAGUGGUAAAGCUUUCCUAGGGUCCAUGUGCAAAUAUUGACAGUGUGUGCAGAAAAUGUCCACUAUAGCUCCUCCCAACUCCUGCCACCCAGUGUUUAUAGCUGCAUCUACAACCUGCUCCUGUUCAACUGUUUGCAAUAAACUCAGUGAGCUUCA